rnacentral:rRNA from 1 species
UACGUAGGGGGCAAGCGUUGUCCGGAUUUAUUGGGCGUAAAGAGCUCGUAGGUGGUUCGGUAAGUCGGAUGUGAAAUCUCCAGGCUCAACCCUGGAGGGGUCAUUCGAUACUGCCGUGACUAGAGGUCGGUAGGGGAGUGUGGAAUUCCUGGUGGAGCGGUGAAAUGCGCAGAUAUCAGGAGGAACACCCGUAGCGAAGGCGGCACUCUGGGCCGAUACUGACACUGAGGAGCGAAAGCGUGGGGAGCGAACAGG